rnacentral:rRNA from 1 species
UACGUAGGGCGCAAGCGUUGUCCGGAAUUAUUGGGCGUAAAGAGCUCGUAGGCGGUUUGUCGCGUCUGCUGUGAAAACCCGAGGCUCAACCUCGGGCCUGCAGUGGGUACGGGCAGACUAGAGUGCGGUAGGGGAGAUUGGAAUUCCUGGUGUAGCGGUGGAAUGCGCAGAUAUCAGGAGGAACACCAAUAGCGAAGGCAGCUCGCUGGGACGGUAUUGACGCUAAGGCGCGAAAGCGUGGGGAGCAAACAGG